rnacentral:rRNA from 1 species
UGAACGCUGGCGGCAGGCCUAACACAUGCAAGUCGAACGGCAGCGCAGCAGUAGCAAUACUGUGGGCGGCGAGUGGCGGACGGGUGAGGAAUACAUCGGAAUCUACCUUGUCGUGGGGGAUAACGUAGGGAAACUUACGCUAAUACCGCAUACGACCUACGGGUGAAAGCGGCGGACCGCAAGGCGUCGCGCGAUUGGAUGAGCCGAUGUCCGAUUAGCUAGUUGGCGGGGUAAAGGCCCACCAAGGCGACGAUCGGUAGCUGGUCUGAGAGGACGAUCAGCCACACUGGAACUGAGACACGGUCCAGACUCCUACGGGAGGCAGCAGUGGGGAAUAUUGGACAAUGGGCGCAAGCCUGAUCCAGCCAUGCCGCGUGUGUGAAGAAGGCCUCGGUUGUAAGUCGACUUUGUUGGGUAAGAAAGGACGAGCGGUAAUACCGCGGUUCUGACGGUACCAACGAAUAAGCACGCGUAACUCGUGCCAGCA